rnacentral:snRNA from 1 species
GGAUGUGAAGGUGAUCUGGUUGCAACAUUUGUCACCCCGUUGAUCAUCAGGAUUGGUUUGGCUGGUCUGGCUGGUCUGGCUGGCUAGGCAGAUGUCUCCUUCCUCCCUCACUGCACCAUGUGUGUCCCUCCCAAGCAGCUGUGAGCCCAGUUGAAGAGGACGGCCACCUGGAUAGAGGAGGACCUUUUCCUCAGUCAAGGGUAUGCAAAUAGCUGCGCUCUCCUGCUAGAACUUCCACAAAAGCUCUCAAAUGUUACUUGUGAUCAUAACAUUAGACUUGCAAAGGCCUUGUGGUAGUUGUAACUUGGCAAACAUUAGG